UACGUAGGGUGCAAGCGUUAAUCGGAAUUACUGGGCGUAAAGCGUGCGCAGGCGGUUUUGUAAGUCUGACGUGAAAUCCCCGGGCUUAACCUGGGAAUUGCGAUGAAGACUGCAAGGCUAGAAUCUGGCAGAGGGGGGUAGAAUUCCACGUGUAGCAGUGAAAUGCGUAGAGAUGUGGAGGAACACCGAUGGCGAAGGCAGCCCCCUGGGUCAAGAUUGACGCUCAUGCACGAAAGCGUGGGGAGCAAACAGG
rnacentral:rRNA from 1 species